CACUUAUAUAAAACAUUCUACAAUGAUGGUCAGGACAAAACUCGUAUGCGUGUUUCUAUUUAUAACUGUUUGGAUGUCCCGCUGAAUGCCACCGAUUGGACAGGUUUAAGGUUCUGACGUACAACGCAGGCUUGCUAGAUGCUUCCUUAGCUGAAGAUAAUUCCGAUAUUUCAAACAACCUUGAAGACAGACGCAAUGCCCUCAUCAAGUAUCUAAAGAAGUCAAACGCUGAUCUUGUUUGUCUGCAAGAGGUUUCAUUUGGACAAGAUGUUGAAAAGAUUGUUAAUAGGGUAAGAAGGAAAUAUCCACACUCUUUCAGUGAACUGCACCGAAAAGAUGGAACACUUCCUCCCCAAUCAACCACAGUAUGGGGUAACGUUUAAUAAUAUAUCGGCUGUCAUAGAAAUAUUCUGCUAUGUUACUUUUUAAGCAAAAGGUUGUCCCUCGCUUAUGCAAAUAGUCUAUCACAGAGGA